UCUUCAUCAAGGUUGUUUCAAUCUUCAUCAGAGGUAGAACUGUAGAAGACCUUCAAGUGGAUUUAUCUUCAGGGAAUCAGAAAUUCUAUAUUGUAUAUUUGGGUGAUUCACCAGUUUUUAAGGAUUCCAUUGUUGAUUCACAUAUCAAUCUUCUGCCAGAUGUUGUUGGAAGGUGCAUGCAUUUUCUUAUCACCCUGGAAUUAUUACCUCGUGCACUUU